GACGAACGCUGGCGGCGUGCUUAACACAUGCAAGUCGAACGAAGUGGCGAACGGGUGAGUAACGCGUAAUCAACCUGCCCUUCAGAGGGGGACAACAGUUGGAAACGACUGCUAAUACCGACUACUGCAGGCGGAGAUGGCGUCUGAUUAGCUAGUUGGAGGGGUAACGGCCCACCAAGGCGAGGCGCAGUAGACGGUCUGAGAGGUGGAUCGGCCACAUUGGGACUAAGACACGGCCCAGACUCCUACGGUAGGCAGCAGUGGUGAAUCUUCCGCAAUGGACGAAGGUCUGACGGAUCAAUGCCGCAUGAGUGAUGACGGCCUUCGGGUGGUAAAGCUCUGUGAAUCGGGACGCGGUACCGGAAUAGAAAGCCACGGCGAAUUACGGGCCAGCCGCCGCGGGAAUG
rnacentral:rRNA from 1 species